AUGUCUGCGUCAGCAGCUCCCGCGGUGGCGUCGUCUGUGGCGAUCUCUGCGCCUCCGGUGCUGCCCCUGCUGUCAGCAGCCGCGUCUGCAGCGCCCCCUGCAGCGGCAACAUGGUGGUGGGCACCAAUUCGUGCGGUGCCUGCAGCGUGGGCUGUAAGAAGUGCUAAGAGGCCGCAGCGCCCCAGCCAGCGUGCAGCCGUGUCACCCUCCGCCGGCCAGGACCUCGAUCACCCCCUCACUGCCCCACGACCGCCAGCUGUCCGCCCUCAACAUCCAGUCGCCAGAUGUGUACAGUCGGCAGGAGCUCCCAACGUGCUCCCUCCGAAUAUGCCAGUGUGCUUGAUCCUGUGGAAUGGAGGUGAGGAACACCGAGGGUGGUUUUCCUGUAACUCUGUGAGGCCCGUGACCGCAGGAGGGAAGAGCAUCUCCCUCCAGGGAUGCCUGCAGAAGCUUCUGAAAAACCAGCGACUCAAUUGCCAGCUCAUUUAUUUGUCUUCGUUUCACUCUGUGUUUCCAAUAAACUAACUGUAGCUGAUCAAACAUGGUGCCUCAGAGUCUUCAAA
rnacentral:lncRNA from 1 species